GGGCAUGUAGUGUAGGGGUUAUCGCGCCUCAUUCGCAGUUUGAGGAGGUCCUGAGUUCAAUUCUCAGCUUGUCCA
rnacentral:tRNA from 1 species